UGUGUGACUGGCUAAAUCGGUGAAAGGUAGUGAUGCCAUUUGCAAUCCCGAUGGUGUGAGCCAGGAACAAGCAAUGUCCAAUGUCUGCCUCUGGUUGGUCUGCAUAAAAUAUUUUUGCCACUUCUCCAUAUCAAGCUAGGCUCGAUGAAGAACUCUGCAGAGACCACGGGUAAAGUAAGCCCAUGGGGUUUUCAGCACCUUGUUGAGAAAUUUCCAAACAUCAGCAUUGCAAAACUGAAGGAAGGGAUAUUUAUAGAUCCGUUUGGAAUAAUGAAUGUUUUAAGCAAUCUCUCUCGGCAGCCGAACUGGACGCUUGGGAGACAUUCACGUGGCUCUGCAAAAACUUUCUGGGUAGCCAUCUCCUGCAUAGAAGGAAGGCGUUCAGAACCUGCUUAAUUCAUACCAGAAACCGGCCUGUCGCAUGUCAUUGAAAAUACAACUCUGCACUCCAAUCAAGAGUUCUUCCCAGAAAAUCUUGGUACGGUGAGUGAUGAGCAAUGCUUUCGCUAAGAUAUUCAGUCAAUGGAGCGUCAUUACCAAGUUUUCUGUAAUGAGAGUAUGAUGUUGCUGUACCGCAACACUCCAGGCAGUACAUAAAAACUCCAAGCAUUUUUAAAGAAAGAGUGGUAGUAGAUUUUCAUCAAUAUAUUGGAUGAAAAUAUACUGGGAAAGUGGCAAUAAGAUCCAUCAAACAUUAACUAUAAGUAAAUAUAGUAACAACAGAGGAAUCCUGUUCACAGGGUUAAGUUUCCUGUUAAUUAACCCUUGUAAUUCUGUUACUGUAAUCCUAGUGCUUUUGCUUCAAUUUUGCAGUUUAUCUCAAUUUGAGCUGGUUCAGGUCUUCACUCGUACCACGUGUGUGUAAAGUUUCGAAAAGAUCAGACAAAUAAUUUUUGAGUUACUACAUUGACAAGGUCAUGUGUCUGAGCUGCCCUAGACAUCAAUACGCUGUGAUGCUUCAGCUUUGAGCAGAUCUGUCUCAAAAAUUGGAUCCCUUCCAGUUUUUCACACCUACAAUGCUCUGGUAAUGUUUUAAAAAAGAAAUCCAUUAAUCGGUUUUUGAGUUGUUGUGUUAACAACAAAGCGUCUGUGGAGGGAGUAUUGGCAGCAGACCGGGCCCAAAACCAUAUAUACUUAUAUACAUAUAUAUUUUUAUGCAUAGGACAACAUAAACACAAUAAAAUCAAUUUUAAAAGUCUAGAUUAGGUUAUGUAAACAGUGACUGUAAGAAAAACAAGCAGUACAACUGCAAAUCUUUUGAAGGUUUUAAUAUCAGGGCUAUUACAUAAGAGAAGAAUUUAGCUGUCCCCUGUGUAACCUGAAAUUACAAGGGACACAUUUUGGAACAGCCACAGUUCUAAUUUACAUAUCCCACUUCCUUUUACUUUUCUUUCAUGUGAGAAAAUGUGGGACAAGAGUAUACGCAGGAGGGAAGCCAAAACAAUUAUUAGAAGAGGAAGGCAGAAGAAUUAUUGCAAGAGGAAGGAGAAUUUGCAGGAAACCCCAAUACAGAGAAUUUAAACUCCCAUACCUGGAAGAAGAUGGCAACCCUGCUGGUCAUAGAGCCACCUCACCACCCAUGUUGAGGCCAUGGAUACAGACGAGCUGGCGGGGCUGCUCUCUGAUAUGGGCCCGACGUGACUGAUACUGGGCAAGACAGGAGAGGAAGAUGCCGAAAAAAACCAACCUCGCUCGAUCUCUCUCUUUGGCUGUCAGCAACCUGACCAAUGAAUUCUGGAGAAAAUAAGAGAGAGCAAAGAGAUAUGGAACAUGGAAGGCUUUGCCACCUGAGUUCGGAACUUCUUCAGGACCCCCAAGGAUUCAUGGUACAGGAAGUCAGACCACUCGAUGUGGCCCUUCUUCUCAGUGUCCAAACUGGCAUAUUGGGCCAGGACUUCCUCCUCCUGCUCAUCUGACAGUUCCCUCUCAAAAAGCUGCUUGAACACAAAGUGCUUGUAGUAUAGAAGACCAUCCGACCCAAGACAUGACUCUAUGGGAAAAGAAAAUUAAUUCACAGUUAAUUAACACCUGACCAGGUGGUACAGUGAUCCAGUCAGUAUAGUAAUGCUCUGUUUAUAGGUAAGCAAAAAAAAAAAAAAGAUAUUUUCAUAGUGAAGUUAAUGUUUUUAUGGUUUAAAAUCCUUGUAUCAGAAAAGAUAUUUUUUAUUAAAAUUAUUAUGAAUUCUGUUUUAACAACCACUUAGCCAGUACAGUGACCCUGGAAUCUACCCAGGGAAGCAGAUGGCAUGAGACUGAGCACAGGCCGUUACAGGACACAAAUAAUGGGUGAUAUAGAGACACCAAUUCACCUAAACCAUGCCUUUUUUGAUUGUAGGAGAACACAAAAUUACCUAACUAAAAAACUGCAUUAUUAUAUAAAUUAAAAAGUUCAACUUCAUCAUCCACCUAGUAGACAGUACAGAAUAGCUCACCUGGAAUGAUCUUACACUGUUUGAAGGUUUCCAUGAGACUAUACAUCUCUUCUUCUGUGAGAAGGAGGUUGACAUUGUCCUGUAGGAAUAAAAUGUUUGUGAUAUUAAUAAUAAAGGAUUAUGAGGCA